UGAUAUAUAACUAUGCGUAUGCCUUAUUUUAGUAUUGGUAUUGUCAUCUGAUUUAAAGUCAUGCCGAUUAUAACAUGCAUAAGGUGCACAGUUUUCUCUGCUUUCAAAAUCUUUCUGUUUGAACCCGUCGACCUGGAACCUUAGUAAUAUUAAAAAUUUGGAAAACAAAAGGGCCUGGAAUGGAGUAUUUUUUACUCAACAGUAUACAGCAAAAUUCUAAAUACACUGUUUGGUGGUGCGCCUGUCAGAUGCGGAACGUACAGAUAAGGUAAUAGGUAACAGGUGAAUAUACUAUUGGUAUCGGUGUCGGACUCGAUCCGGAACUUCUUAAUUAUUGGCAAUAUUAAUUACGUGGAAAACAAAUGGGCCUAGAGUGGUGUAAUUUUUAAUCAACACCAUUGUACUAUAUUAGUUAUAUAUAAAGUUGAAUUCUUUGAUUCAUCGUUUUUACGUGAUGACGGCUGACAAAUUGGACCUCGUAAUUUUAGUAUUAUAGAUACUGAAAGCGUCA
rnacentral:lncRNA from 1 species